rnacentral:rRNA from 1 species
UACGUAGGGGGCUAGCGUUGUCCGGAAUCAUUGGGCGUAAAGCGCGUGUAGGCGGCCCGGUAAGUCCGCUGUGAAAGUCGGGGGCUCAACCCUCGAAUGCCGGUGGAUACUGUCGGGCUAGAGUGCGGAAGGGGCGAGUGGAAUUCCUGGUGUAGCGGUGAAAUGCGCAGAUAUCAGGAGGAACACCAAUUGCGAAGGCAACUCGCUGGGACGUAACUGACGCUGAGACGCGAAAGCGUGGGGAGCAAACAGG